rnacentral:rRNA from 1 species
UACGUAGGUGGCAAGCGUUGUCCGGAUUUAUUGGGUUUAAAGGGUGCGUAGGUGGCCCUGUAAGUCAGUGGUGAAAUAUCUCAGCUUAACUGAGAGGGUGCCAUUGAUACUGCAGGGCUUGAGUACAGAUGAGGUAGGCGGAAUUGACGGUGUAGCGGUGAAAUGCAUAGAUAUCAGGAAGAACACCAAUGGCGAAGGCAGCUCUCUGGGACGGUACUGACGCUGAGACGCGAAAGCGUGGGGAGCGAACAGG